GAAUGACCUCACACACCAGGAAUGAGAAGCCCCCACCAACAAAGGCCUGUUGAUAAUUCUCCUGAGAAAAGGCAUUGAGUCUCAUCUCUUCCCUGACCUGGGGUUAAAGAGUGGACAAUAAUGCUGUUGCCUUCAAGAAUGAGCCAGAGAGGGAAGGUGACCUGAAAAGGUGACAAAGCAAUCAGCGCAAACUACAUCCUUGGGCCAAAUCUAUGACAUCAGCAAAGCUGGGCUUCAAUCCUUGCCUCCCUUUUCCCCUGGUCAGGGUGCUCCUCCCCAAGACAGGAGGCUCCUCAUCCUCGUUCCCUUUUCAAGACCACCUGCUGGGCAACCACCAUUUACUCAUUCAUGCUAAAGGGCCUGAAAAGACUAAUUUUGGAGAAUAUGUGUUGACUGUUCCAACUGUAAGCAUGCUUCCUGCCCUCCCUCCAGGCUGCCCAGCGGUGCCACUGCUGCAAAUCCAGGUGAGCUAGAGGUGCUCAGAGACAGAAGGGGCCACCUUGCAUGGGAAACAUGAGUUUCUAGCUGCUGAAGGUGUUCAAACCUCCUGAUGGGGUUUUCUUAGAGAAGAUGGGGUCCCAGGGUCUGAUGAUCUGUGCUAACCCUGAAAUUCUCUGAUUCUGGGACUCAGGAAUUGAAUAUAUUAAUGGGAAGGUGAUAUAGUUUGGCUCUGUCCCCACCCAAAUCUCAUCUUGAAUUGUACCUCCCAUAAUUCCCACAUGUUGUAGGUGGGACCUAGUGGAAAAUAAUUCAAUCAUGGGGCGGUUUCCCCCAUACUCUUCUUGUGGUAGUGAAUAAGUCUCAUGAGAUCUGAUGGUUUUAUAAGGGGUUUUCCCUUUUGCUUGCCUCUCAUUCUCUUUUGUCUGCCACCAUGUAAGAUGUGACUUUGCAACUCCCUCACCUUCUGCCAUGAUUUCAGGGCCUCCCCAGCCACAUGGAACGGUGAGUCAAUUAAACCUCUUUCCUUUAUAAAUUACCCAGUAUUUCUUUGUAUGUAUGUCUUUCUUAGCAGCAUGAGAACAGACUAAUACAAAAGGAAUAACAUAUAAUGCAUUUAACAGCAGUAGAAGUGGAAAUCAUAGAAGGGGGAUGGGAGUCUAUCAAGUUUUCACUGGAAUGCAAAUCUCAACCUGGAGAGAAGGAAAGUGUGGGGAGAGCAGUGGGAGUCCUAUUUUAGGAAUGGAUGGAUAAUACUUUUUAAAGGCAGAACACAAAACUGGCAUGAGGCAAGAUCCAGGAGUAAAGGAAGACUUCAACCAUCUGGGCAUCAGACGGAGUCUCGGGCUGCUAAAAACAGAUAAAUUCUUGUUUGGCCUUGCUGACAAUUUUAUGUCCAAAAGACAAGGAGAAGCAGCAAAGAGAAAAACUGGUCAUUGGGACCAGAAAGAAUUUAUUUGGGGGUAGGAAAAGACAGAGACCCCAGAAGAAAAUGGCCUUCGUCUUAGAAUCUAUCUAAGAAGGAAGCAAGCUGAGAAUGAAGUGAGGCAUGUUAUUUACACUCGAGGAAAAGCAAGUCGAAACGAGGCAAGAGAGGGGGGAAUAAUUCUUACCUCUUGAAGUCUUCAAAGCUUAUAUGAGUUACAAGGACAGUAGACUCUACAAUGCCAUUAUUUAUGCGUCAUCAAUGACCCAAAAGAAGGCGAUAAGGCUCUUAAAAAACUAGCAUAGCCCUGCAAAAGAUGGGAGGAGGAGUGGAUUAGUCAGGGUUCUCCAAAGAAACACACCAAUAGGAUGGACAUAUAAACACACAUUUUAAGGAGUUGGCUCACAUGAUUGUGGGUGCUGACAAGUCUGAAAUCCGUGGGACAGGCCUUCAGGUUGGAGAUGCAGAUAAGAGUUGCUGUCGCAAUCUUCUGUUUGGAUUCCACAGGGCAGCAGGCUGUAAACUCUGGCAGGGAUUCUGUGUUGCAGUCUUGUGGAGAGUGCCUCUACAUCAGGGAACCUUGUUUUUGUUCUUAAGGCCUUCAGUGGAUUGGAUGAGGCCCAUUCACAUUAUGGUCGGCCAUCUGCUCUACUAAACUCUACUGAUUUAAAUGUUAAUCUCGUGUAAAAAAUACCUUCACAGCAACAUCUGGACCAGUGUUUGACCAAGCAAUUGGGCACCCUUGCCUAACCAAGUCGACGCACAAAAUUAAUUCUCAAAAGGAGCGUGUGGCCAAGGGCAAAUACAAGAACAUGGUGAUCAUGAAAGGUGAGUCCCAGGAAGGCUGGGAAAGCUGAGAAGUGGCUGAAGAGUCUUCCAGAAAACAUGGUGGGGACACUCAAAAAUUAGUGUGCAGUAGAUGGAUGGUGGCUUAGUUUGUUUGAGCUGUUAUAACAAAAUACCAUAGACUUGGUGGUUUAUAAACAACAGAAAGCUAUUUCUCACAGUUCUGGUAGCUGGAAAGUC
ensembl:lncRNA